CCUACGGGUGGCAGCAGUGGGGAAUAUUGGACAAUGGGGGGAACCCUGAUCCAGCCAUGCCGCGUGUGUGAAGAAGACCCUCGGGUUGUAAAGCACUUUCAGUGAGGAAGAACGCCUGGUGGUUAAUACCCAUCAGGAAAGACAUCACUCACAGAAGAAGCACCGGCUAACUCCGUGCCAGCAGCCGCGGUAAUACGGAGGGUGCGAGCGUUAAUCGGAAUUACUGGGCGUAAAGCGCGCGUAGGUGGCUUGAUAAGCCGGUUGUGAAAGCCCCGGGCUCAACCUGGGAACGGCAUCCGGAACUGUCAAGCUAGAGUGCAGGAGAGGAAGGUAGAAUUCCCGGUGUAGCGGUGAAAUGCGUAGAGAUCGGGAGGAAUACCAGUGGCGAAGGCGGCCUUCUGGACUGACACUGACACUGAGGUGCGAAAGCGUGGGUAGCAAACAGGAUUAGAUACCCUUGUAGUC
rnacentral:rRNA from 1 species